rnacentral:rRNA from 1 species
AUACGUAGGGGGCGAGCGUUGUCCGGAAUGACUGGGCGUAAAGGGCGUGUAGGCGGCCGAUUAAGUCUGGAGUGAAAGUCCUGCUUUCAAGGUGGGAAUUGCUUUGGAGACUGGUUGGCUUGAGUGCGGAAGAGGUAAGUGGAAUUCCCAGUGUAGCGGUGAAAUGCGUAGAGAUUGGGAGGAACACCAGUGGCGAAGGCGACUUACUGGGCCGUAACUGACGCUGAGGCGCGAAAGCGUGGGGAGCGAACAGGAUUAGAUACCCUGGUAGUCCACGCGGUAAACGAUGAAUGCUAGGUGUAGGGGGUAUCGACCCCUUCUGUGCCGCAGUCAACACAAUAAGCAUUCCGCCUGGGGAGUACGGCCGCAAGGUUGAAACUCAAAGGAAUUGACGGGG